rnacentral:rRNA from 1 species
CCUACGGGGGGCAGCAGUGGGGAAUAUUGGGCAAUGGGCGCAAGCCUGACCCAGCAACGCCGCGUGAAGGAAGAAGGCUCUCGGGUUGUAAACUUCUUUUAUCAGGGACGAAGCAAGUGACGGUACCUGAUGAAUAAGCCACGGCUAACUACGUGCCAGCAGCCGCGGUAAUACGUAGGUGGCAAGCGUUAUCCGGAUUUACUGGGUGUAAAGGGCGUGUAGGCGGGAAAGCAAGUCAGAUGUUAAAACCGUGGGCUCAACCUGUGGCCUGCAGUUGAAACUGUUUUUCUUGAGUACUGGAGAGGCAGACGGAAUUCCUAGUGUAGCGGUGAAAUGCGUAGAUAGUAGGAGGAACACCAGGGGCGAAGGCGGUCUGCUGGACAGCAACUGACGCUGAGGCGCGAAAGCGUGGGGAGCAAACAGGAUUAGAUACCCCGGUAGUC